CCGCUACUGAAACCUGGGAUUUCUCUGAUGCAAUAUGAUAGAGGCCAGGAGGACUCAAGCAACUGCUAACGUCUUUAGAAUCGCUGUCGUUGCUUCCAAAGGCUGUGAGAUCACAGACUUCAGAUGCAGAAGACACUGCCCUUCUGGACGCUUCUUGGGUCAGCACUUCCUCUUCUGAGCCCACAUGGAAACCUACAUACAUCCCCACCUUCCUGACCACCCUGGGGACCAGCGACUGGGGCUGUGUGACAACCUCCUGGCACAGGGCCACCCUGAGCUCCUUCAGCUGGCCUCUGACUUUCGUGUCAUCCUCAAAAUUGCGAGCACACACCUCUGUGGAGAAGGCAACAGAUAAUAUUCAAAUUCCACUGCUCGGCCCUGCUGGCCGGGAGAGACC
rnacentral:lncRNA from 1 species